rnacentral:siRNA from 1 species
CGCUAAUUAGACGCUUAUCCGC